GACAGAGGGUGCAAACGUUGUUCGGAAUUACUGGGCGUAAAGCGUGUGUAGGCGGCCUUGUAAGUCGGAUGUGAAAGCCCUGGGCUCAACCCAGGAAGUGCACUCGAUACUGCUAGGCUUGAGUACUGGAGAGGUUGGUGGAAUUCUCGGUGUAGAGGUGAAAUUCGUAGAUAUCGAGAGGAACACCGGUGGCGAAGGCGGCCAACUGGACAGAUACUGACGCUGAGACACGAAAGCGUGGGGAGCAAACAGG
rnacentral:rRNA from 1 species